rnacentral:ncRNA from 1 species
UAGGAAAAAUGGCAAACCUGAUCGAAAGACAGGGACGCAAAGCUACGGGUCUAAAGCAUUAUUAAUGCGAUGAUCGCCGGGUUACCCUA